rnacentral:rRNA from 1 species
UACAGAGGUCCCGAGCGUUGUUCGGAUUCACUGGGCGUAAAGGGUGCGUAGGUGGUGAGGUAAGUCGGAUGUGAAAUCUCCGAGCUCAACUCGGAAAUGGCAUUGGAAACUACCUUGCUCGAGGGUUGGAGGGGGGACUGGAAUACUUGGUGUAGCAGUGAGAUGCGUAGAUAUCAAGCGGAACACCAGUGGCGAAGGCGAGUCCCUGGACAACUCCUGACACUGAGGCACGAAAGCUAGGGGAGCAAACAGG